UUGGAUUUUUUUUUUUUUUUUUACAUUUCACCUAAUUCUGAAAUCAUGGGUUCAAAUGGUUAUUUGUUCCUUGGGCCAUGCCCUAACACAGUCUGGAUGUUGAAUUGCCAAUACUUCAAUCUGAACAUGCGAUGAGAAUGAUGGCUUUGCAAAUGAUAACCAACUCAAUAAGUGAUGCUAUGGAGAGGUACAAGGAGCUCAUAUGAGUGAACAGUUCCUACCGCAUCAGGCACUCCCAGCUCCUGUGUGAACAAACUCAAUUGAAGAACCAUAUACAGAUUUUGCUGAAUGAGAACAGAGAACUGCUGGUGGAGCAGUCUGAACUGCCAGCAUCCUAUUUGGAGGCAAAGGGGUUCUG
rnacentral:sRNA from 1 species